rnacentral:lncRNA from 13 species
AUGGGGCUUCACAGUGUAGAAAAGGAAAGCAUGAGACCGUCGCAGACACUGCCUCUCCCUGGCGGCUGGCCGGCCUAUCUGCAAACUGUUGGCUCCCUACAGUCCAGUAUCUAUUCCCAUCUUCACUCCUCGCUGAUACUUGGGAUUCCAGCAAUUUGGCAGCGAAUAAGGUCAUUCGAGUGCAUACCUGCUAAGUGUCAGUCCCGAAUAUAGAGAUACAGAAUUAUAGAAUCCCUGACUUGGAAGAUACCAGAAGUCAUCAAAAUAAUGCCUCCAGAAGUGAGCUUCUCAAGAGCAAAGACCACAGUGUUUCUGCAGGGACUGCUGCUUCCUAGACGGUGCUGCUUCCUGUCAUUGAUGGUCUGUUCAUUCAAUGAGGGAAUGAACCAACCCUCACUGCUGCAUACACGACAAUUGUCACCUGGCCUUUCCUGAUCAUCUCAAGUGAUAGGAAGUUCAUUAUCAUGCAGCGCUGCUGGACUUUGUUUGUGGAUCCCUCUUAUUUUUCUGUAGGACAAUAUGACUUCAAGUACUUCUAAUAUUUUCUUUUAUUUUCUGAUAAGUAUUUAUAGCAAAUGACUAGCUAUCUCUCAAUGUAUCUCCACAUGUUGGCAUAUUUAAUAUAUGCUAGCAUAUGUCAAUUAUAUAUAUAUAUAGUUCAGAUUUCUGCCUUUUUUAGGCAACCUCCUCUUCCCAUCACAACUCCUCAGCUGCAGAAUGUUUUAUUCUUUAUGCUUUAGCAACGGCUGUUGAGGAAUCAAUAGCUGGGAGGUGGCAAUAUGGAUGCAAGAAAAGUGAAGGACAGAGAGAAGGGGCCUAGAUGAGCACACAGCCCUCCUUCCCUUGACCUUAGCUAGGCAAUCAGUAGAUCUAAAGUCUACACGCCUCUCCCUCUUCCCAUGGAUUCAUGCCAAGUGACACGAAAAGCCACGGCCAGCUUCUGAGAAGAGCAGGGCUGUAGGCUCAUGUUCUUCCCAACACCAGCAAAGUAGAGGAGGUUUGGAGUUUUUUAUUUGCCUCUACUUAAAAACAUAGGGAGCUUAGCAUUUUCUCAUUUCAACCAUAUCAAAAAGAAAUAGGGGCUUUGAGGAGCUUAAGAAAAGGUGCAGUUCUAAGAAUCUGCAAGUAAGAAGAAUGGACACUUUACAGCUGUCUAACC